rnacentral:rRNA from 1 species
UACGUAGGUGGCAAGCGUUGUCCGGAAUUAUUGGGCGUAAAGCGCGCGCAGGCGGUCCUUUAAGUCUGAUGUGAAAGCCCACGGCUCAACCGUGGAGGGUCAUUGGAAACUGGGGGACUUGAGUACAGAAGAGAAGAGUGGAAUUCCACGUGUAGCGGUGAAAUGCGUAGGAGAUGUGGAGGAACACCAGUGGCGGAAGGCGACUCUUUGGUCUGUAACUGACGCUGAGGCGCGAAAGCGUGGGGAGCAAACAGG